rnacentral:tRNA from 1 species
GGAGAGAUGGCUGAGCGGUUUAAGGCGCACGCUUGGAAAGCGUGUAAGGGUUAACGCCCUUCGGGGGUUCGAAUCCCCCUCUCUCCG